GGGUGUUCCAUGGGAGAAGCUGUAGAGGUUAACACUCUCUCAGCCAAGGACCUGCCUACUGAUAGACUAAGAUUCUGAAGACAGCUUUGAAGACAGUUUUCAAAGGGACUAUGAAAACCUAUCUCCACCAGUGCUGAGAUGGCCAAAGCAAGACCCUCAGCCAAAAGUGAAAGUGCAAAUGAAUGAUAUAAAUGGGAAGCCAGACAUUAGCUCACCUACCUUUACUGACAAUAUGGAAUGCUGCUCUCGAAGAAAAGUCACCAUCAUCCUUUGCAUCUUGCUGUGUACUUUCCUG